rnacentral:rRNA from 1 species
UACGGAGGGGGCAAGCGUUAUCCGGAAUCACUGGGCUUAAAGGGUGCGUAGGCGGCUUGAUAAGUCAGGGGUGAAAGCCCGCAGCUUAACUGCGGAACUGCCUUUGAUACUGUCGAGCUUGAAAGAGGUUGAGGUCAGAGGAACGUGACAUGUAGCGGUGAAAUGCAUAGAUAUGUCACAGAACACCGAUUGCGAAGGCAGCUGGCUGGACCUACUUUGACGCUGAGGCACGAAAGCGUGGGGAGCGAACAGG